rnacentral:lncRNA from 1 species
UUUCAGUUUUUCGGCGGACACAACAUCUUUGUUUGUAUGUGGUGCUGAGGAUCGAACCCGGGCCGCACGCAUGCCAGGCAAGCGCACUACCGCUUGAGCCACAUCCCCAGCCGGUUAUCCCUUCUUCUGCUCUCAUAACAGUGGUCCACUUCAUACAGCCCUGGCUCUUCUGCCAUUUCUUUCUCUCUUCCCUAAUCUCUCCCCUCCCUACUCUCUGGGGAAACAGGAUUACCUUGCUUCCCCAACCCAGGCUGAAUUAUCUGUCCUUGAGUACACACCCACCACAGGAACUAAGUAUUCUAGACUUUGGGGAUGGCACCAGAAGAUCUCAGAAAUGACUAUCUCCCAAAGUAACAAGUGAAUUACAACUCCAGAGAGAGAACAUGUGGAAUAUAGCCUUUGAAUCACCUCUUUAAAAGUCCCCUGUUGCCCCUGAUGGGCAGAAUCACAGCCUCUGGGAACGGAGGCCCCUGUGUUUCUCCUUUGCUAGCAAAGCAAUAAAACUUCUUUUUUUCUUUUUCUCAUAAACCA